UAAGUUUUAUUGUAUUUCAAAUCAUAAAAAUAAUUAGUAUUUAUAAGGCAAUCAAACAUUAUAAGUUUUGAAUUAAUUGUUAUAAGGCAAUCAAACAUUAUUAUAAUUCAUCCUUAAAUAUAAUUAGUAUUUACCGACACUGCAUAACUUGUGUCGAAUUCAUCUCUUCGCAGUUAUCCGGUGGUCCCUACUUGGUUCAGAACCGGAGGGUGAAACUCGUUUAUUGUUUACAAGCCUGGGGCUGGUACGAUGAGGGAGAGAGCGAAGCGUUUAGGGUUUUGGAGAGGUUUUAGAGAGAAAUCCGACUCAGAAGGGAAAUUCCAGCAGAGUAUCGAUGUUGGCGGUGGUGAUUCGAAGUUUGGAUCUAUGGUGGUCGAGGCGGUGGCUUCCGUGGUGAAAACUGUAGCCAUGGGACAGAGUAAAGACUGUGGGAAAUAUGAAAGAACUCUUGCUUUGUUAGAGCAAGUCAGGCCCUGAUGCAGGAAUAAUAGUAAAUGGAAAAUUUUGGAUGGUGUUAGUCUCUGGAGCGCCACCCCAUAGGCAUCUGCAACAAAGAAGUUUCAGGCUUCAAGACCUGUGAUUAGCUUUUGUACAGCAGUUAUUGUUGUGAGGUUUUGGGUUGUGUUGCAACUAUUGACAGUUACAUUGUGAAGAGAAUUCAUCCUUUCGUAGCUUCUGGUCUUCAAAUUGGUACAAAUGGAGGUUCUGAUCACAAGUCACACUCUGUUGAUACGUUUCCUAAAAGGGCAUUGGAAAAUUUAAGGAAUAUCAGGGAUAUUGCUGGGAUUCUUUUGGAACUAUCUAAAGAUUUUAAUUUUAAUAGAUUCCUUGCCAUACUGUUAGAAGCUCUGGUUGAUCAAAGGAACCUGGGCCAAGGAGGUCUUAGCUGCUAUAACUAAGAAUUAUCCAUCUCAAUUUCAAGGAGCUGUUCGGAUGUUCCUAGAUCUCUGUUUAACUAUUAUUUUAUAUCUAUCUUUGCUUUCUCUGUAUCUUUUUCAAGCUUCUUGUCUUAUGUUUUUGAUCCUUCUCUCUUCUACUAGGAUACAAAAGUCCAAUCCAAGAAAGAGGACAAAGUGUGUGAGUCCUUGAGUAAAAUAUUGGAUUGGAAUUUGGAUUUACUGAUAGCCGUCACAGAGUCCAAAAUAUGGCUUGCGGCACACCAUCCAAAGUUGCUUGGAGAGGACCCUGUUCCAGUGUCUUGGAAAAUGUUGCUAUAAGUUUUGUGAGACCAUGCUCCUUGUUGGUGAAACCAAAGGGGUGGGAAGACUACAGUGUGCCAGUUACCGAGUAUUGCUUUGGGGUUAAAUUUACACAUUUUGAAUUGUCACCAGUGCUCUGAAAUGUCUGAUUUUCUUGGGGUUGUCUAUCCAAUUCGAGAUGGAUUGAUGUUGUCCUCAGAAUACAAAUGUGUGAUUGAACGAUUGAAGCUAUUGAAGGCCCUCAUUCAUUUCCCUCAAGACUUGGUUAGUAUGUUUUGGGUUAAAAUAGUCUAUUGGUAUCUUAGCUUAUUUCCUCUACACUCUCUGAGAUGCGCUGGUGUCUCAAAUAUGUUUGGUUGCUGGAUAUUUGUUCCGAUAUUAGCCAUGUUUCUUCAACUCUUGACCAGCUGAAUGUAGUUACCAGUAAUUACAGGCAAGGCCUUUCAAUUCCUGAUGUCACUUUGCUGGAUAUGGUUAAUUUAGCAGAGGUGAAGAAGGAACUUGAUCUGCUUUACCGUAAGUGGCAGACAAUUUUAUGUGGCAAAAUGGGCCUCUUGUGCUAUCUACGAAGGCUGGUUAUUUAUUUCUUGUUGAUGAAAUUUCCUUGGCCGAUGAUAGCAUACUGGAAAGGAUGAACGGUGCUUGGAGCCAGAAAAGAAGGCGGUAAGUAAUUUUUUUUUUUUUUUUUUGAGGAUUUUGCUCUUUGCAGUGAACUUCAAGUUGGCUAGUUAAAAAACAUUAGCCAUCCGUCUAUCCUUCUGGAACCUGACUUGAAAUAUUCACUGACUUAUUCAAUAAAGCCUCCACAAUCUUUUGUACCACAUCAAAUGCAUUGACAUCAGCAGAAUCAGUGCAUGCAAAAGUUUCUAGUUUUGUUCUUGAGAUGUGGUUUUGGUGGCAUUCUUUAUCAUGAAGCCAGUGCCUGCGUCUUUCAAGGAAGAAAGUAUAGGGCUUGUGAGCUUGGUCAGUAAUAUUGAAGGCCUUUUAUAGGUGCAGCUAGAAUAGAAUUAUUUGGCAGGAUGGUCUCAUUCAAAAGAUACUGAUAAAAGAAUUUCACAAGCAUUAGAAAAGCUUGAAAUUGAACUUAGAAAACUGCUAAGGAAGGUCCGAAAGCUUGUGUUUAUUGCCAUUUAUUCGUUUGUCAAGUUUUAUUUUUCAUUCAGAUUGUCUUCCCUCUGAUCUUGCAAAAUACAAUGUACGAAGAAAAGAAUGUGAUCAGCUUCUUGUUCUUGUUAAUUCUUCAAUGAGUUUGGUCAGCAAUAUUGAAGGCAUGGAGUUACAACAGGUUGACGAAGCGUGCAACCGGCAAGUAGAUUUUCUUAGAUAUACUUUUGACAUUAUUCCCAUUGGACGCAGUGAGGUUACUUGGCUAUAUACUCAUCACUUUCUUAUCUAAUUUAUUUUCUCGGGAGACAGCUAGCUGUU